AGUAGUGAAUGGAGCGGGCCAGGGGGGUGGGUGGAGUAAGGCCUGACCCAGUCUUCUUUGCUGGAGGUAGGGACCCGGGAGUGUGACUGCGGUUUUCUGCUGGGGGCGGAGACCUGGAUGCGUCCUUGUUGAAGACCAGCGGAGUGGUGGACUGGCCCCGCCAAACAACAGCCUCUCCUUCCAGUACCUUGCUGCAGUUUCGGGCUUUGGCACUAGGAGUGGCUCCUCUGUGUGCGGGGAAGCAAGAAGAGGCGGCAGAGAAGAAAAGGCACAGCUAAGGAGUGUCAGACUGCUUCCAUUCACUCAUUCAACAAAAACUUACUCUGUGCCUGGCCUCUGCCUGGUAUAGGUCGUGCCGCCAGUGACGGCCCUGACUCUGAGGACAUGGUCGCCUAGGACAGUUCAGUGACACUGAUUCUCUGCACCCUGCCUGACACCUGAGAAAAAGACAUGCCCCUCAACACGGGAGGUAAUGAAUUUGGAUACACCCAGGGCCAGGUGGGAGCAUGGGUGCCUUGGUGGGGUCCGUGCUGUGCACCUGUACCACCUCUGCAGGAGCCCCUCCCGGGCUGGCCUGGGCUGUCCCCUCCACCCGCUCCAUGCCGUCUUUCCAGGCCCCCUUUUCAGAUACAAAAUCACACUCAACCAGACGCUGCUGUUGGACAAGUCACCUAGCCACUCAGCUCCUCUCCUCCUCCACCAUCAACCUCAACUUCCCUCAACUGUGACCAUCUUCAACAUUCUGGGAUUCUCUGAAAGCCAGUCCACUUAGAGACAUUUGGGGACAGUGCCCAGGAAAUAAUGGUAUUCAGAGCACUGCCUCAUAGGCAGUCGCUAUGCUUCAUACUGGUUCCUUAGUCUAGGAUAGACCUGGGCUCCAAGAUCCUGGCUCUCUCUUUACCUGUGAGGCCUCAGGCAAAAGAUGCCUAAGCCAGGUGCCUAAUCAGAACUUCCUCUGAUUAAUGUGAAACCCCAUAAAACCUAACAACCAGCCCUCAUCUGUCUCCAAACUUUUAGAUGCUAAGACCUGACACGCUGUAGGGACUUGGGGAGUGUCUGUUGAAUGAAUGCAUGACUUGACAUGUUAAUAUGCAUUUACAUGGUUAUACUGUAUCACACUGCAUGUAUCUGAAUUAAACUUGCCUAUAUACUCACCGAAAAUGGUCUGUUGCAGAAGCUGUUUUACAACUUUUUAAAUGAUAAGAUUUACUUUACUUUUAAAAUGAUAAGAUUUUUGUAUUUAAAAGCAAUAGCAACAACAACAGUAAAAUACAAAAUGUUUAAAAAGAGCACCAAUAGCCCUGG